AGGAUGAACGCUGGCGGCGUGCCUAAUGCAUGCAAGUCGCACGGUCGGGCUUCGGCCCGGUAGUGGCGAACGGCUGAGGAACACGUACGAACCUACUCCUGUGUGGGGGACAACUCGGCGAAAGCCGCGCUAAUCCCGCAUACGCUCUUCGGAGGAAAGCGUGGAAACACGCGCACAGGAUUGGGCGUGCGGCCCAUCAGGUAGUUGGUGAGGUAAUGGCCCACCAAGCCGAUGACGGGUCGCUGGUCUGAGAGGACGACCAGCCAGACUGGGACUGUGACACGGCCCAGACUCCUACGGGAGGCAGCAGCAAGGAAUUUUCGGCAAUGGGCGCAAGCCUGACCGAGCAACGCCGCGUGGAGGAUGACGGCUUUCGGGUUGUAAACUCCUUUUGCCAGGGAAGAUACGGACGGUACCUGGCGAAGUAAGCCCCGGCUAACUCUGCGCCAGCAGCCGC
rnacentral:rRNA from 1 species